rnacentral:rRNA from 1 species
UUGACCUCGGAUCAGGUAGGAAUACCCGCUGAACUUAAGCAUAUCAAUAAGCGGAGGAAAAGAAACCAACAGGGAUUGCCCCAGUAACGGCGAGUGAAGCGGCAACAGCUCAAAUUUGAAAUCUGGCCCCUAGGGUCCGAGUUGUAAUUUGUAGAGGAUGCUUUUGGUGAGGUGCCGCCCGAGUUCCCUGGAACGGGACGCCGCAGAGGGUGAGAGCCCCGUCUGGCUGGCCACCGAGCCUCUGUAAAGCUCCUUCGACGAGUCGAGUAGUUUGGGAAUGCUGCUCAAAAUGGGAGGUAUAUGUCUUCUAAAGCUAAAUAUUGGCCAGAGACCGAUAGCGCACAAGUAGAGUGAUCGAAAGAUGAAAAGCACCUUGAAAAGAGGGUUAAACAGUACGUGAAAUUGUUGAAAGGGAAGCGCUUGUGACCAGACUUGGGCGCGGCGGAUCAUCCGGGGUUCUCCCCGGUGCACUUCGCCGUGUUCAGGCCAGCAUCAGUUCGGCGCGGGGGAAAAAGGCUUCGGGAACGUGGCUCCUCCGGGAGUGUUAUAGCCCGUUGCAUAAUACCCUGCGC